UCUUGCAAAAACUGUUGCAAACUUCCCAUGAACGGCAGCAUUACCAAUCCACCAUUUAAUAGCCCCAUCAUUUGGCGUGUCAAUUAUGAAUUCAUCUGUGAGUGGAUCAAAGGUGGCAACUGUCUGAAGACCUUGGACAUUGGAACCAUGAUGAAGCUCCGUCAUUGCAAAGCAUCCCGGGUAGUCCACAUUGUCUAUACCAUCAAAGUAUUUGUCUCUGUGCUUUUUAGUUCCCAAGUUGAUAACAGAACCUCCCCAUAGACUGUACUGAACACCCAUUUUGAUGCCAAGUGACAUGUCAACGCUUCCCACGGCUUCAGCAAUCGCAAAAUACUUGGCCGGAUCGUCAACCACAUACCUAAAUGGCCUAAUUCCACCUUCCCUUACCAAACCCACAAGCUGUUUCAUGCACAAUUCCCUGUGUUCAUCUUUCGAUAUCUCAAUCGGUGUUUGAAGUUCCGGUCUUGAAUUAAAGUAAGCAAAUACUUUUUCCUGUAUAUCCCUAUGCUUCCCUCUCAUGUACUCUGACAGCG
rnacentral:misc_RNA from 1 species